rnacentral:rRNA from 1 species
CCUACGGGUGACAGCAGUGAGGAAUAUUGGUCAAUGGACGAGAGUCUGAACCAGCCAAGUAGCGUGAAGGAUGACUGCCCUAUGGGUUGUAAACUUCUUUUAUAUGGGAAUAACAUGUUCCACGUGUGGGAUUUUGUAUGUACCAUAUGAAUAAGGAUCGGCUAACUCCGUGCCAGCAGCCGCGGUAAUACGGAGGAUCCGAGCGUUAUCCGGAUUUAUUGGGUUUAAAGGGAGCGUAGGUGGAUUGUUAAGUCAGUUGUGAAAUUUUGCGGCUCAACCGUAAAAUUGCAGUUGAAACUGGCAGUCUUGAGUACAGUAGAGGUGGGCGGAAUUCGUGGUGUAGCGGUGAAAUGCUUAGAUAUCACGAAGAACUCCGAUUGCGAAGGCAGCUCACUGGACUGCAACUGACACUGAGGCUCGAAAGUGUGGGUAUCAAACAGGAUUAGAUACCCCAGUAGUC